CAGUGUGUCUUGAGAAAUAUACCAACCCUAAUACCCUGUCAGCCUCUUUUGCAUUUCAAACCCGCAGUCACACGCUCCCUCACGAACUCUCCGUCUCUGUUGUUUCCGACGCCAGCCCACGAUCUUCAACACCUCACACCGCCAUCACCAUUAAGAGCAGUAAAGAGAGAUGAACAAAACUCGGUUCUCACCACUAGACCUCGGCCACCGACAGACGCCGUUUCACAUGCCUCACAGAUCUGUUCUCUGCCCUGCCCAUAUGCUUUCUUCUCGGAAGUGCUCAUUCCAUUGAUAUCAAAGACCAUGAGAAUUAAAAGCUUCUACACGGCGUCCAUGUCAUCUUGGUCUUCUUCUCUCCAAUUGUAAUGAGAGAUUUUGACUACUACGGUGCACUGACUUCCCUUCUGUGGCUUCAAGCUCGAUCAACAAAUAUAGCAAAAAGAUUGGUGCAAUUGUAUGACUUGCUUAGCUUGCAUUAACAUUGACACUUGGGGUGGAUUGCCUUAGCUAAAUUUUGAGCAUAAUCACUGCAGCCUCGUUGAUUUGGAGUAUAAAUUUGUGGUAGUCCUGAGAGUUUGUGCGCAGGAAACCUGGAGGUCAGCUGAUGUUUUUCCAAGUAGACUUGCUCUGCUCUUGGCUGCAGAGAAUUGUCCCUUAUCUUUUCUCUAUUCCAUUCCUGUCUGCAUUUUAGUCCGGAAUCAAAACUUUGGUCCAGUCAUGCCUCUUGAGACUUACCGGAAUCCCAAGAAGAGGGACAGCGACGAGGUCGAGAUCAAGAUCGGCACGGCGCCGUUUUGGCAUAGGUUCCUCUUUAUUUUCUCCAAGAAAGACAAUUUUAUGGAGGGAACUUGUUUCAUAUAAUUGGAGUAAAUUCAUCAAUAUAUGGUUGAGAUUUUUUGUUUCCGGUA